GGGUUUUUUUGGGGUUUCUUUGGGAUUUCUUUGGAAUUUUUUUGGGAUUUUUUUGGGAUUUUUUUUGAAUUAUUUUUAAAUUUUUUGGGGAUUUUUUGGGGGAUUUUUUGGGAUUUUUUGGGGAUUUUUUUGGGAUUUUUUUUAGAUUUCUUUGGGAUUUUUUGGGAUUUUUUUCAGGAUUUUUUGGAAUUUUUUUGGGGAUUUUUUGGGAUUUUUUGGGGUUUUUUGGGGAUUUUAUUUUGGAUUUUUUUGGGAUUUUUUGGGGGAUUUUUUGAGGAUUUUUUGGGAUUUCUUUGGGAUCUUUUUGGGAUUUUUUUUUUAUUUUUUUUGAAUUUUUGGGGGAUUUUUCGGGGAUUUUUUUGGGGAUUUUUUGAGGAUUUUUUGGGGAUUUUUUUGGGGAUUUUUUGGUGGAUUUUGGGGUGAGGAAAUGAGGAUUUUGGAGUGUGGGGGAGGGGCCAGGUGUGUCCAGGUGUGUCCCCAGGUGUGUCCAGGUGUCCCCAGGUGCGUUCCAGACCAGGUUCCAGAACGUUCUAGAGGUUCUAGACUCGGUUCUAGAUCGGGUUCUAGAUCGGGUUCUAGAACGUUCUAGGUACGUUCCAGAUCAGGUUCUAGAACGUUCUAGAUCGGGUUCUAGGUGUGCUCUAGGUACGUUCUAGAGGUUCUAGAUCACGUUCUAGAACGUUCUAGACUCGGUUCUAGACUCGGUUCUCGAUCGGGUUCCGGACUGUUCCAGAACCGGUUCCAGACUGGGUUCCAGAGCAGGUUCCAGACUGGGUCCCCAGGUGUGUCCAGGUGUGUCCCAGGUGUCCCCAGGUGUGUCCAGGUGUCCCCAGGUGUGUUCAGGUGUUCUCCAGGUGUGUUCAGGUGUGUCCAGGUGUUCUCCAGGUGUAUCUCAGGUGUAUUUUAGGUGUCCCCAGCUGUUCUAGGUGUAUCUCAGGUGUCCCCAGGUGUGUCCCCAGGUGUAUCUCAGGUGUAUCUCAGAUGUCCCCAGGUGUGUCCAGGUGUCCCCAGGUGUAUCUCAGGUGUCCCCAGGUGUAUCUCAGGUGUAUCCAGGUGUCCCCAGGUGUAUCUCAGGUGUGUCCCCAGCUGUCCCCAGGUGUCCCCAGGUGUCCCCAGGUGUCCCAGGUGUCCCCUGUCCCCGCAGGAAGAUCCAGGAGGAAUCUCUCCGCACGUACCUGUUCACCUACAGCAGCGUCUACGACUCCAUCAGGUGGAUUUGGGCUGAAAAACGGGGA
rnacentral:lncRNA from 1 species